rnacentral:lncRNA from 1 species
UCCCACCCUUUUUUCCUUCUGCCUGGAAGCCCUGCCUGAGUUGGUCCUGUGAAAUUGACAAGGAUUGGUGUAAAGCUGAUAGCUUCAGCAUAGGAGAUUGGAGAAAGAUAAAUCUCACCCUGGAAGUUCAUUUGUCUCUGGACUUUUGACAGUGUAAGUGUACUCUGCCCCUGCACCCUCCCCCUUCUUUUGAAUGGCUACUUCCUUACAGAGUCUCCAUUUUAAGAAAAAUCUGAG